rnacentral:rRNA from 1 species
AGUGAACGCUGGCGGUAGGCCUAACACAUGCAAGUCGAACGGCAGCACAGUAAGAGUUUGCUCUUAAGGGUGGCGACUGGCGGACGGGUGAGGAAUACAUAGCAAUCCAAUUUUUCGUGGAUGAUAACGUGGGGAAACUUACGAUAAUACCGCAUACGACGUACGGGUGAAAGCAGUGGAUCUUCGGAGCUUGCGCGAUUGUAUGAGAUGGUGCCGGAUUAGAUAGUUGGCGGGGUAAAGGCCCACCAAGGCGACGAUCCGUAGCUGGCCUGAGAGGAUGAUCAGCCACACUGGAACUGAGACACGGUCCAGACUCCUACGGGAGGCAGCAGUAGGGAAUAUUCCGCAAUGGGCGCAAGCCUGAUCCAGCCAUGCCGCGUGAGUGAAGAAGGUCUUCGGGUUGUAAAGCUCUUUUGUUGGGAAAGAAAAGAAGCAGGAGAAUACCCCGCUGUUCUGACGGUACCCAAAGAAAAAGCACCGGCUAACUUCGUG